CAGCCUGCCCAGUGACCAUGUUCANCGGCCGCGGUAUCCUAACCGUGCGAAGGUAGCGUAAUCACUUGUUCUUUAAAUGAGGACUAGUAUGAAUGGCACCACGAAGGUUAUACUGUCUCCUUUUUUCAAUCAGUGAAACUAAUCUCCCCGUGAAGAAGCGGGGAUAAAACUAUAAGACGAGAAGACCCUAUGGAGCUUUAAACAAUAUAGCACUUGCCAUACAACAUMAAAAUUUCUGAAACUUCAAAUCUACACGGCAACKUGACUAUAAGUUUUUGGUUGGGGUGACCKCGGAGCAUAGCACAACCUCCAUGUUGAAAGAAUUUUCUAAGCUAAGACCCACUAGUCCAAUCAUCNAUAUACUGANAUCCAUUGANCCAAUAUAUUUGNNCANCGAACCAAGUUACCCUAGGGAUAACAGCNCAAUCCACUUCAAGAGCUCCUAUCGNCAAGUGGGUUNNCGACCUCGAUGUUCGAUCAGGGUAUCCCAGUGGUNCAGCCGCUACC
rnacentral:rRNA from 1 species